rnacentral:rRNA from 1 species
UUCGCAAUGCCCGAAAGGGUGACGAAGCGACGCCGCGUGCGGGAAGAAGGCCUUCGGGUUGUAAACCGCUGUCGGGAGUUAGGAAGUGCAAGGAUGUUAAUAGCGUUCUUGCUUGACUAAGGCUCCGGAGGAAGCCACGGCUAACUCUGUGCCAGCAGCCGCGGUAAUACAGAGGCGGCAAGCGUUGUUCGGAAUUAUUGGGCGUAAAGAGCACGUAGGCGGCUAUGUAAGUCGGUUGUGAAAGCCUUCCGCUCAACGGAAGAACAGCAUCCGAUACUACAUGGCUUGAGUGUGGGAGGGGAGAGUGGAACUUCUGAUGGAGCGGUGAAAUGCGUAGAUAUCAGAAGGAACGCCGGCGGCGAAAGCGGCUCUCUGGCCCAUAACUGACGCUGAGUGUGCGAAAGCUAGGGGAGCAAACGGGAUUAGAUACCCCGGUAGUCCUAGCCGUAAACGAUGGGCACUAAGUAGAGGGGUUUU